GCUCUCGUGGAUGAAUUGGCGCAUCACCCGAUCGCAGUAUAGCGGUCGUAGUGUAGGCUGAAUGGGAGGUGGGGGUUCGAGUCCCCCCGAGGGCA